GAUGAAGAACGCAGCGAAAUGCGAUAAGUAAUGUGAAUUGCAGAAUUCAGUGAAUCAUCGAAUCUUUGAACGCACCUUGCGCUCCUUGGCAUUCCGAGGAGCAUGCCUGUUUGAGUGUCAUGAAAUUCUCAACCUUUCUGGCUUUUGCUAGUCAGGCUUGGAUUAUGGGAGCUGCUGGCUUUUGAAGUCGGCUCUUCUAAAAUGUAUUAGCAAGAUCAUUGCUGCUCAUCGUUGGUAUGAUAAUUAUCUAUAUCAUUGAGAGUCAGUUUCCUUUAUUGGAAGAUUUUGCUCCUAACGGUCUUUAGCAAGACAACAUUUGACGAUUUUGACCUCAAAUCAGGUAGGACUACCCGCUGAACUUAAGCAUAUCAAUAAGCGGAGGA
rnacentral:misc_RNA from 1 species